GAUGAACGCUGGCGGCGUGCCUAAUACAUGCAAGUCGAGCGAACAGACGAGGAGCUUGCUCCUUUGACGUUAGCGGCGGACGGGUGAGUAACACGUGGAUAACCUACCUAUAAGACUGGGAUAACUUCGGGAAACCGGAGCUAAUACCGGAUAAUAUAUUGAACCGCAUGGUUCAAUAGUGAAAGACGGUUUUGCUGUCACUUAUAGAUGGAUCCGCGCCGCAUUAGCUAGUUGGUAAGGUAACGGCUUACCAAGGCGACGAUGCGUAGCCGACCUAAGAGGGUGAUCGGCCACAAUGGAACUGAGACACGGUGCAGACUCCUACGGGAGGCAGCAGUAGGGAAUCUUCCGCAAUGGGCGAAAGCCUGACGGAGCAACGCCGCGUGAGUGAUGAAGGUCUUCGGAUCGUAAAACGCUGUUAUGAGGGAAGAACAAAUGUGUAAGUAACUAUGCACGUCUUGACGGUACCUAAUCAGAAAGCCACGGCUAACUACGU
rnacentral:rRNA from 1 species